UACUAAUUUCCGUUGAUCCUGCGGACGAUCGCUGCUUUUUGGAUUGGACUAAGACAUGCAAGUCUCCUCGUAAGAGGGGCGAAAGGCUCAGUAACACGUCGAUAAUCUAACCUUGAGUCUGGGAUAAUCUCGGGAAACUGAGGAUAAGACCGGAUAGAUGAUUGAUACUGGAAUGUACUUUCAUUCAAAAGUAAUGCUUAAGGAUGAGUCGGCGGCUGAUUAGGUUGUUGGUGAGGUAAAGGCUCACCAAGCCGUUGAUCAGUAGGGGGGAUGAGAGUCCUAGCCCCGAGAAGGACACUGAGAUAAGGGUCCUAGCCCUAAGGGGUGCAGCAGUCGCGAAACCUUUACAAUGCACGCAAGUGUGAUAAGGUAAUCCAAAGUGCUUACAAUUUUUUGUAGGCUUUUGCCAAGUGUAAAAAGCUUGGAGAAUAAGCAGUGGGUAAGACCGGUGCCAGCCGCCGCGGUAACACCGGCGCUGCGAGUGGUGAUCAUCUUUAUUGGGUCUAAAGCAUCCGUAGCAGAUUAUGAAAGUCUUCUGUGAAAUCGUUGGGCUUAACUCAGCGGCUUGCGGAAGAUACUACAUGGUUAGAGACCGGGAGGAGCUAGGAGUAUUCCUUGGGAAGCGGUAAAAUGCUUUAAUCCUUGGAGGACUACCAGUGGCGAAGGCGCCUAGCUAGAACGGGUCUGACUGUAAGGGAUGAAAGCCAGGGGAGCGAACUGGAUUAGAUACCCAAGUAGUCCUGGCAGUAAACGCUGUGAAUUAUGUGUUGCGUAAUCUACGUGGUUAUGCAGUGCCGAAGCGAAGGCAUUAAAUUCACCACCUGGGAAGUACGGUCGCAAGGCUGAAACUUAAAGGAAUUGGCGGGGGCGCACUACAAGGGGUGCGGCGUGCGGUUCAAUUCAAUUGUACACGGAGAAUCUCACCAGGAGCGACGGCAGAAUGAAGGUCAGAUUGAAGGUUUUACCUGACAAGCCGAGAGGUGUUGCAUGGCCGCCGUCAGUUCGUGCCGUAAGGUGUGCUGUUAAGUCAGUUAACGAACAAGACCUAUAUCUACAGUUGCUAGCGAGUCUUCCGAGAUGAUCGAGCACACUGUUGAGACUGCCCGCGUAAGUGGGAGGAAGGUGUAGGCAACGGUAGGUCUGUAUGGCCCGAAUCUUCUGGGCUACACGCGCGCAACAAUGGCAGGGACAAUGGGAUGCGACUCUGAAAGGAGAAGCCAACCCUCUAAAUCCUGUCUUAGUUCGGAUUGAGGAUUGUAACCCAUCCUCAUGACGCCGGAAUCCCUAGUAAUCGGACGUCAUCAGCGUCCGGUGAAUAAGUCAAUGUGCCUUGCACACACCGCCCGUCAUCCCAAUCGAGCAGGGUUUAGGUGAGGCUUAGCUUUAACUAAGUCGAACCUAAGCUCAGUGAGAAGGGGCAAGUCGUCACAAGGUAGCAGUAGGGGAACCUGCUGCUGGAUCACCUCCUUU
rnacentral:rRNA from 1 species